AAACGGCAGCACGUAUUCAAAAAGCAUAAUGAGACAAGGAAAAUUAAUGCUUUUUUUGUUUGUCUUUUUAAUGUCUUUUUUUUUUUUUGGAUGGAUUUUCCGAUUCUAUGCAGUUUUUAUGAUAU
rnacentral:ribozyme from 1 species